rnacentral:rRNA from 1 species
CUGCCCAAAAGAAGGGGAUAACAUUUGGAAACAAAUGCUAAUACCGUAUAACCAUGAUGACCGCAUGGUCAUUAUGUAAAAGGUGGUUCUGCUAUCGCUUUUGGAUGGACCCGCGGCGUAUUAACUAGUUGGUAGGGUAACGGCCUACCAAGGUGAUGAUACGUAGCCGAGUUGAGAGACUGAUCAGCCACAAUGGGACUGAGACACGGCCCAUACUCCUACGGGAGGCAGCAGUAGGGAAUCUUCCACAAUGGGCGCAAGCCUGAUGGAGCAACGCCGCGUGAAUGAAGAAGGUCUUCGGAUCGUAAAAUUCUGUUGUUAGAGAAGAAUAUGAGUAAUAGUAACUGAUUAUUCACUGACGGUAUCUAACCAGCAAGUCACGGCUAACUACGUGCCAGCAGCCGCGGUAAUACGUAGGUGGCAAGCGUUGUCCGGAUUUAUUGGGCGUAAAGGGAACGCAGGCGGUUUUUUAAGUCUGAUGUGAAAGCCUUCGGCUUAACCGGAGAUGUGCAUUGGAAACUGGAAGACUUGAGUGCAGAAGAGGAGAGUGGAACUCCAUGUGUAGCGGUGAAAUGCGUAGAUAUAUGGAAGAACACCAGUGGCGAAAGCGGCUCUCUGGUCUGUAACUGACGCUGAGGUUCGAAAGCAUGGGUAGCGAACAGGAUUAGAUACCCUGGUAGUCCAUGCCGUAAACGAUGAAUGCUAGGUGUUGGAGGGUUUCCGCCCUUCAGUGCCGCAGCUAACGCA